UACGGGGGGGGCAAGCGUUGUUCGGAAUUACUGGGCGUAAAGGGCUCGUAGGCGGCCCUCUCAGUCGGAUGUGAAAUCCCCAGGCUCAACUUGGGAACUGCAUCCGAUACUGGAUGGCUUGAAUUCGGGAGAGGGAUGCAGAAUUCCAGGUGUAGCGGUGAAAUGCGUAGAUAUCUGGAGGAAUACCGGUGGCGAAGGCGGCAUCCUGGACCGACAUUGACGCUGAGGAGCGAAAGCUGAGGGGAGCCAAACGGGG
rnacentral:rRNA from 1 species